rnacentral:tRNA from 1 species
CUCCCUGUAGUUUAACUGGUGAAAACAUGUGGCUGUUAACCACGAGAGAAUCGGUUCAAGUCCGGUCGGGGAGG